rnacentral:rRNA from 1 species
CCUACGGGGCGCAGCAGUGAGGAAUAUUGGUCAAUGGACGCAAGUCUGAACCAGCCAUGCCGCGUGCAGGAAGACGGCUCUAUGAGUUGUAAACUGCUUUUGUACGAGGGUAAACGCAGAUACGCGUAUCUGUCUGACAGUAUCGUACGAAUAAGGCACGGCUAACUCCGUGCCAGCAGCCGCGGUAAUACGGAGGAUUCAAGCGUUAUCCGGAUUUAUUGGGUUUAAAGGGUGCGUAGGCGGUCGGAUAAGUUAGAGGUGAAAUCCCGAGGCUCAACUUCGGAAUUGCCUCUGAUACUGUUCGUCUAGAGAGUAGUUGCGGUAGGCGGAAUGUAUGGUGUAGCGGUGAAAUGCUUAGAGAUCAUACAGAACACCGAUUGCGAAGGCAGCUUACCAAGCUACUUCUGACGUUGAGGCACGAAAGCGUGGGGAGCAAACAGGAUUAGAUACCCGGGUAGUC